rnacentral:rRNA from 1 species
CUACGGCCAUAUCACCCUGAACAUGCCCGAUCUCGUAAGCUAAGCAGGAUUGGGCUUGACUAGUACUUGGACAGGAGAAUUGAGAGUCCAGAAGU